rnacentral:tRNA from 1 species
GCGUAUAUAGCUCAGUUUAGGUUAGAGCAUCGGAUUGUGGUUCCGGAGGUCACAGGUUCAAAUCCUGUUAUACGCC